GAAAUGCGAUAAGUAAUGUGAAUUGCAGAAUUCAGUGAAUCAUCGAAUCUUUGAACGCACCUUGCGCUCCUUGGUAUUCCUUGGAGCAUACCUGUUUGAGUAUCAUGAAAUCUUCAAAGUAAAUCUUUUGUUAACUCAAUUGGUUUCUACUUUGGUAUUGGAGGUCUUUGCAGCUUCACACCUGCUCCUCUUUGUUCAUUAGCUGGAUCUCAGUGUUAUGCUUGGUUCCACUCGGCGUGAUAAGUUAUCUAUCGCUGAGGACACUGUAAAAGGUGGCCAAGGUAAAUGCAGAUGAACCGCUUCUAACAGUCCAUUGACUUGGACAAUACUUUUAUGAUCUGAUCUCAAAUCAGGUAGGACUACCCGCUGAACUUAAGC
rnacentral:misc_RNA from 1 species